CCCACGGGGGGCUGCAGUGGGGAAUAUUGGACAAUGGGGGGAACCCUGAUCCAGCCAUGCCGCGUGUGUGAAGAAGGCCCUCGGGUUGUAAAGCACUUUCAGUGAGGAAGAACGCCUGGUGGUUAAUACCCAUCAGGAAAGACAUCACUCACAGAAGAAGCACCGGCUAACUCCGUGCCAGCAGCCGCGGUAAUACGGAGGGUGCGAGCGUUAAUCGGAAUUACUGGGCGUAAAGCGCGCGUAGGUGGCUUGAUAAGCCGGUUGUGAAAGCCCCGGGCUCAACCUGGGAACGGCAUCCGGAACUGUCAAGCUAGAGUGCAGGAGAGGAAGGUAGAAUUCCCGGUUUAGCGGUGAAAUGCGUAGAGAUCGGGAGGAAUACCAGUGGCGAAGGCGGCCUUCUGGACUGACACUGACACUGAGGUGCGAAAGCGUGGGUAGCAAACAGGAUUAGAUACCCCAGUAGUC
rnacentral:rRNA from 1 species